CCUCUCCCUCUCGCGCUCUCUCAUUUCUCUCGCCCUCCUUCUCGCUCUCUCUCAUUUCUCUCGCCCUCCCUCUCCCUCAUUUCUCUCUCUUCCUACUUCUUGCUCUCUCUCGCCCUCCUUCUCGCUCUCCCUCAUUCUCUCUCUCUCCGUCUCCCUCCUUCUCGCUCUCCCUCAUUUCUCUCUCCCUCCCUCUCCCUCUCCCUCCUUCUCGCUCUCCCUCAUUUCUCUCUCUCUCUAAGAGAGAAGACGAAAAACCCCACAGCUAAUCAUGUUAAGAAGAAACCGGAAUGAACAAAACCUCCGUCGUUAACAUUUUCUCAUGAAGCUUACUGAAUAUUACAAGCGCACUGGCAUUCACUCCGUACAUGUGAAAUAAAUAUUUUCUCAUGGAAAGUUUCACCAUAUCGACGAUGAUAUAUUUUUCUAAUCCAUCUAAAUCACUAGAUUGCGGAGUAUCUUAGAACUCUACGUAGAAAUGAGCAGGUGUCGGACCGAGCACAUGAAUAUAAACCUGUGAUUUGAAUUACAGCCAAUCGACACCUCCAGACCAAUCAGAUUUGAGAAUUCAACAGCACCGCCGAAAUAAAUUUCCCUUCCGAACGUUUCAGUACUUCUCUCGGUAUCGAGUAGAGCUGGGUAAAGUUGAGAAACUUUCAUAGCAGUCUGAUGAUUACAUUUUACAUGAAGGUUCCCUUAACUGACAUUACUUAUUAAAACACUAGGGCUGUGCAUGACCGUAUGGUCCAUGAUAUACCAGUACAAUUGCGGUGGAAGUUCGGCGUUGCGACCCUAGACAAGGAAGGAGAAUUAAUCCCCAGAAAAGGCGCUUCGGUUGGAAUAUCGAAGGGGUUCGGAUACAUCAAAACAGAUGUGAAUCAAACACCUGUGAUUGCUCAAAAACCCACAAAGCAAAGAGUGGAAACACAUCAAAUGUUCCACCACCUCGAGCAAAAACAAAUACACGGAAGGCCAGAAGCUCAGGAGAAAGCGUCAACAAGUAACGUCAAAAAGAUAGUAACUAUUUUCACAUCGUCAUUUAUAUUUAUACAUUACCACAAAACAUGACCAUGAGAUAUCGUGAUAGAGUUUUCAAUCUAUAUCACCCAUCCCUACUUAACACUUUAACUAACAUGAACAAACCAUGAACUUCUGACUAUCGGUCAUUAACGUUUGUAUGAGUCACAUUUAGAUAUUAGUUAGGUAAGUGAAAUGCAGCCCAUAAUGAUCAGUGUGAACACCUGGAGACCAGAGUCCAGCACCUUAGCAACAGUAAUGAAGCUUUUGAUCUCUAACGUACACGGAUGUAUUAGGCAUUGACGGAAUAAACAUUGGCUAAUGUAUGUGGAUUUCACUGACGUUUAAACAAGCAUCAAUUAACACCUUGUUAAAUGAAGCGGUUUAAUAGUGAUGUUUAGGGUGCGUUAUUGUUAAUUAACGCUGUUAGUUACGGGAACCUUCACGUUAAUAAUCGAGUGUAAAUGUGAUGUUAUUCUGUAUGCUACCGGUACUGUACAUGGAGACAAGAAAAAAUGAUCUUAAGACAAUCUUCUUAACAACUGAUCCACAAUCCUCUCUUCUGCGCUGUCCAGUCAUCCUCAUAUGUAAUUAUCUCCAUGUCCAAUCAUCCUCAUGUCCAGUCAUCCUCAGAUGUAAUUAUCUUCAUGUCCAGUCAUCUUCAUGUCCAAUCAUCCUCAGGUGUAAUCAUCUUCAUGUCCAAUCGUCCUCAUGUCCUGUCAUCCUCAUAUCCAGUCAUUCUCAUGUCCAAUCAUCCUCAGAUGUAAUUAUCCUCAUGUCCUGUCAUCCUCAUGUCCAAUCAUCCUCAUGUCGUCAUUCUCAUGUCCAGUCAUUCUCAUAUCCAAUCAUCCUCAUGUCCAAUCUUCCUCAGGUGUAAUCAUCUUCAGCACAUUUUAGCAGUACUCAAUACACACACACACACACACACACACACACACACACACAAAGAGAAUGGCUUCCGGAGUGUGGGCGAGGACAUCGGACUAGUCAAUACAAUCACUGAGUAAAAAUAAAACACGCGCAGCCUUUAUUAGAAACGGCUGUGUAAAGCAGGAAAAGCCUGUACACUCACUGCUAUACAACAACAAAGAUGAACCAUCUCUGAGCACUGCCUUUAGCAGACAACACACACACACACACACACACACACACACACACACACACACACACACACAAGCUCUAUGGCUUUGAACCAUUCGAAUGUGGUUAAAUAUCAUUUACAAAAACAAUUCUCCCAAUGAAGGAGCCAUAAAGAGAAGCACUUAUCCUCAAUCAGUGUUAUUGUUACACUCAUAUGAUACAGUAAUAUCUCUCUCACACACACACACACACACACACACACACACACACACACACACACACACACACGUGAUGCUUUCUACACAGCAUUAAGGUGUCAGCGCAAGAGCAAGUACACGAUAUCAAAGCUAAUUAAUACCCAUUUUUUAUACACACACACACACACACACACACACACACACACCCAGCAGCAUCGCAUCAUUAUUACAAUUGGUACUAUAAGCAAUAAUACUAUUGCUGUGUAAAUGAAUGGCAGGUAAAGAUUUCCAUCUCAGUGGGAAGAAAAAAAAAAAGUCCACCCUGGAACUGAAGCCUGCAGAGAGCAGAGUGUACGUACACACACACACACACACACACACACACACACACACACACACACACACACACACCACCUCUACAGAAAGAUCUUAUACUUAUUGCCUUUAGCCUGGGUCACGGCCCGUGUGGAGGCUGUGUGUUUUAGUCAUCUGCUCAAAUGUGAGCUCGGCCUGUGUUAAGGCUCCUUAGUAAAAUGGCUGAUUUUUCCUACAUUUACAGCACUAUGUACAGUGACAACACACACACUACACAUUUUCAUAGGCAAGGACUAGUCUGGACGAGUGGAUCAAAGACGUAAAGUGCUUUCAAGACAAAAAAAAUACGCCACAGCGAUCACUGUGCACUUUAAUUAUGGCUGUUUAUGGGUUGUUAUUUUUAUUUAUUUAUUUUUUGAUGGUACUACAAUACCGAAUAACACAAUACUGAAUUUUGCAUUUAAAACUUUAUUCCUCCUGUAAUGUUCAUGAGUGUCAGGGAUUCGAGGCGGAUGCAAAUGCAGACUGUAAGUGAAAUGUUUAAUAAAGUAUCCAGCAAAACACAACACAAGACUUACAUGGGACAAAGACGGGCAUAACGUCAUACGUGGAGACAGAACAAGCAACGCAAGACAACUCGUGCAGAAUGUGACACGGUGCAGUGGCUGAUGGGAAAUGUAGUUUCUAGUCCUUCUCCUAUAAUAUAAUACACGACGACGAGACAACAUACUGUAGGAAUACAGCUGUAUGAAAAGGUUUGGACAUCCCUGGCCAAGUCACAUAUUUUGUUGAACUUGUGAACGUGAAAGAAUGAAACGCGACUCCUGCACAAGCUAGCUGUAAAAAUCUCAGAACUUCUCAUGAUCUCAUGAAUCGUGGUUAAGAAUACAGAUCCAGUGUGUAAUGAAUUCUCUGACUCUUGUGCUAACACUCAACAACCAUGAGGAUGCUCUAAUCAGCUGACUGAGAAAUCUGAAAAUGAACCUAAUUGAUGCAUACAUAAAAAGAUACCAAAGCAUUUUCAGCUCAAAUUUCCACUGAAAUGUCCAAAAGCAAUAAAAAUAAUAAUAAAACUUUAUUUUAUAUAGUGCCUUUAAAAAGGCCUCUCAAGGUGCUUUACAUAAGCGUGUACAGUCAUGGUAUCAAAAAUGGCAGUUAAGGGGAAGUCAAGGCAAGAUCUUUAAAAACAAGAGAGCGUUUAGAUAGGACCGCCCUUAUGUUGGGAAGAAAGGCACUAAAUAACACCAAGGACCUGCAGAAAGCUGACUCAGGAGCGGUGGUGCACUGUUCUUCUCUGCAGCGUUGCUUUCACAAACAUGAUCUGCAUGGAAGAGUCAUCAGAAGAAAUCUUCCUUGUGGCCUCAUCACAAAAGUGAAAGCCCGACGUACGCAAAACAACGUCUAGAUAAGUCAGAGGCAUUGUGGAGACAUGCUGCAGACUGAUGAAGUAGAAACUGAACUCUUUGGCCACAAUCACAAUACAAAGAAUUGCAUCUGAUGAAAAAUGAAAAGAACAGCUUGCCAACUGUUAAGCACUGGGGUGGAUCGAUUGUGGCUCUGGCUUGAUCUAUUUAUGCUAUUAUGCACUGCACAGGUAGCUGGAAGAAUGGAUUCCAGUCAAUAUCAGCAAAAUCUGGUAGCAAACAGAACAACGAUCCAAAACGUACCUUAAAAUCCACCAUAAACUACUACAAGAAAUGCAAGCUGAAGCUUUUAGACCAGCCCUCACAGUCCCUCUGAUCUGUGGGUAGAACUUAUUCAAGUACGUACAUUUACAGAGCUGUAAAAUAAAUAACAUGAAUAAAAAAGUAUUGGCCCCAUCCUGAUCUCUUGUGUUUUUGUGUAAAUCUCAUACUCAUUUUUUCUAAGUCUAAGAUAAAACCGUGAUAAUGUUUUUAAAUGAUAAUGUUAUUUAUUGAAGCAAAAUGAGUUAUCCAAUACCAACUGGGCCUGUGUGAAAAUGUAUUUUCCCCCGUUGUUACUAAUUCCCCAAAUCUAUGAAACUGCAUUGAUAAUGAGGUUCAGCUGGACUUGACACAACCAGGCCUGAUUACUGCAAACCCUGUUCAAUCACAUCAACACUUAAAUAGAACUUUUUCUACAGCGUGAAUUUGGGUAAAAGGUCUUACCCAGUAACACACUAUGGCAAAAUCGAAAGAAAUUCCAGAAAUGAUGAGGAAGAAGGUGAUUGAAGUACAUCAGUCUGGGAAGGGUUACCUAGCUAUUUCAAGUGUGGUAGUGUGAUGGUGUGGGGAUGCUUUGCUGCUUCAGGGUCUGGGCAACUUGCAGUAAUUGAGGGAAACGAAUUCCACUCUCUACCAGAAAAUCCUAAAGGCAGAAUGUCCCGUCUAGAGUUGAAACUCAAGUGCAACUGGAUUGUACAGCAAGACAAUGAUCAAAGCACAGGAGUAAGUCCUAAUCCUAGAAGUAAGUGAAAGACUGAUCUCAGUUAUCGGAAGCGUUCGGUUGCAGUUAUUGCUGCUAAAAGGUGGCACAACCAGAUUUUAUGUUUAAGGAAGCAGUUAGUUUUCCACAUGGGUGAUAAGAGUUGGAAAACCUUUUUUGCGUACAAAAUAAUAAUAAAUAACUGUAUUGUGUGUUUAUUCAGGUUGCCUUGGUUUUAUGUUGUAUUUCACUUGAAGAUCUAAAACUAUUUAGUAUGAGAUAUACACAAACGGAAGAAACCAGAAACAGAAAAAUACUUCUGCACAGCUUUUUUACUUCGUAGCAAUUAAACAAAUCACAGAUAUGACAUAAAACAUUCUGGCCUCGUGAAACAUACCUCAGACUAGUUCAAUGAAAUAUUUUGUUUCCGGAUCAAGUAGAGGAAAAUGAUGGAAUCAC
ensembl:lncRNA